UACAGAGGGUGCGAGCGUUGUUCGGAAUUAUUGGGCGUAAAGAGCUCGUAGGCGGUUUGUCGCGUCGACUGUGAAAACCUACAGCUUAACUGUGGGCUUGCAGUCGAUACGGGCAGACUUGAGUUCGGUAGGGGAGACUGGAAUUCCUGGUGUAGCGGUGAAAUGCGCAGAUAUCAGGAGGAACACCGGUGGCGAAGGCGGGUCUCUGGGCCGAUACUGACGCUGAGGAGCGAAAGCGUGGGGAGCAAACAGG
rnacentral:rRNA from 1 species